rnacentral:rRNA from 1 species
AUUGAACGCUGGCGGCAUGCCUUACACAUGCAAGUCGAACGGUAACGCGGGGCAACCUGGCGACGAGUGGCGAACGGGUGAGUAAUGCAUCGGAACGUACCCUGGAGUGGGGGAUAACGCCGCGAAAGCGGCGCUAAUACCGCAUAUGCUCUGAGGAGGAAAGUGGGGGACCGCAAGGCCUCACGCUCUGGGAGCGGCCGAUGUCCCAUUAGCUAGUUGGUGGGGUAAAGGCUUACCAAGGCGACGAUCGGUAGCUGGUCUGAGAGGAUGAUCAGCCACACUGGGACUGAGACACGGCCCAGACUCCUACGGGAGGCAGCAGUGGGGAAUUUUGGACAAUGGGGGCAACCCUGAUCCAGCCAUGCCGCGUGAGUGAAGAAGGCCU